GACGUAGCUUGUCCUAUUAUGGCCGCCCGAGCCGCUCCUAAGGGAAGGUCGCCCGUUCGAAUCGGGCCGGGGUCACCA
rnacentral:tRNA from 5 species